UAGAGUUUGAUCCUGGCUCAGGAUGAACGCUAGCUACAGGCUUAACACAUGCAAGUCGAGGGGAAACGACAUCGAAAGCUUGCUUUUGAUGGGCGUCGACCGGCGCACGGGUGAGUAACGCGUAUCCAACCUGCCCACCACUUGGGGAUAACCUUGCGAAAGUAAGACUAAUACCCAAUGAUAUCUCAAGAAGCCAUCUGAAUGAGAUUAAAGAUUUAUCGGUGAUGGAUGGGGAUGCGUCUGAUUAGCUUGUUGGCGGGGUAACGGCCCACCAAGGCUACGAUCAGUAGGGGUUCUGAGAGGAAGGUCCCCCACAUUGGAACUGAGACACGGUCCAAACUCCUACGGGAGGCAGCAGUGAGGAAUAUUGGUCAAUGGGCGAGAGCCUGAACCAGCCAAGUAGCGUGCAGGAUGACGGCCCUAUGGGUUGUAAACUGCUUUUAUAAGGGAAUAAAGUGAGCCUCGUGAGGCUUUUUGCAUGUACCUUAUGAAUAAGGACCGGCUAAUUCCGUGCCAGCAGCCGCGGUAAUACGGAAGGUCCGGGCGUUAUCCGGAUUUAUUGGGUUUAAAGGGAGCGUAGGCCGGAGAUUAAGCGUGUUGUGAAAUGUAGACGCUCAACGUCUGCACUGCAGCGCGAACUGGUUUCCUUGAGUACGCACAAAGUGGGCGGAAUUCGUGGUGUAGCGGUGAAAUGCUUAGAUAUCACGAAGAACUCCGAUUGCGAAGGCAGCUCACUGGAGCGCAACUGACGCUGAAGCUCGAAAGUGCGGGUAUCGAACAGGAUUAGAUACCCUGGUAGUCCGCACGGUAAACGAUGGAUGCCCGCUGUUGGUCUGAAUAGGUCAGCGGCCAAGCGAAAGCAUUAAGCAUCCCACCUGGGGAGUACGCCGGCAACGGUGAAA
rnacentral:rRNA from 1 species